CAGCUCGUGUCGUGAGAUGUUGGGUUAAGUCCCGCAACGAGCGCAACCCUUGUCGUUAGUUACUACCAUUAAGUUGAGGACUCUAGCGAGACUGCCUGGGUUAACCAGGAGGAAGGUGGGGAUGACGUCAAAUCAUCAUGCCCCUUAUGUGUAGGGCUACACACGUGCUACAAUGGCUGGUACAGAGAGAUGCAAUACCGCGAGGUGGAGCCAAACUUAAAAACCAGUCUCAGUUCGGAUUGUAGGCUGAAACUCGCCUACAUGAAGCUGGAGUUACUAGUAAUCGCGAAUCAGAAUGUCGCGGUGAAUACGUUCCCGGG
rnacentral:rRNA from 1 species